GGCGGAGUGGUGAAAUGGUAGACACAGCAGACUCAAAAUCUGCCGAUUGCAAGAUCAUGCCGGUUCGAGUCCGGCCUCCGCUACCA
rnacentral:tRNA from 1 species